UAAGAUCACAAAUCUUCCACAAGAUCAUCCAAAUCAAUUCAUAUCUUGUGAAGCAAUUCUCUCUCCCUCACUCACAAAUUCGACCACCUCUCUCCUCACUCCACCCAAUUCGGCACUCUCUCUCUCCCCUUCAUCUCUCUACUUUCCACCAUUGUCAACCAUAGAUGAGACCUCCGAAGCUUUACCAAAAUAUGCCAAACACAUAAAUCACCAACAAAAUCCCACCUAAACACCUCUUAUCAACUUGAAUUCAAGAGAAUCCUUGAAGAUUGGCUUCAAGACUAGAGAGAGAAAAUUUGAUAUUUGGUGUAAACUUGGACACGAGCAGAGCAGGGAAGUAAGUAACUCCGCUUUGACGGGAGUUUUUGAGUAAGGUCUUCAGACUAAGCGAGGAGCGAGAUUGGUCUGGUGCUGGCGGGGAAAUGUUGGAGGAUGUAUUUACUUUAUCGUAUUUCCAUUUUGACGAUAAAGUCUUGAUGAUUGAUAUACUUUAAUUUUCUUUUGAAGUUAAGCAAUGUACUCACGGUUAUAUGUCUUCAUACAUAUAAUCGGUUCGCC